rnacentral:rRNA from 1 species
GCGAACGCUGGCGGCAGGCCUAACACAUGCAAGUCGCACGGAUCCUUCGGGAUUAGUGGCGGCCGGGUGAGUAACACGUGGGAACGUGCCCUUUGGUUCGGAACAACUCAGGGAAACUUGAGCUAAUACCGGAUGUGCCCUUCGGGGGAAAGAUUUAUCGCCAUUGGAGCGGCCCGCGUCUGAUUAGCUAGUUGGUGAGGUAACGGCCCACCAAGGCGACGAUCAGUAGCUGGUCUGAGAGGAUGAUCAGCCACACUGGGACUGAGACACGGCCCAGACUCCUACGGGAGGCAGCAGUGGGGAAUCUUGCGCAAUGGGCGAAAGCCUGACGCAGCCAUGCCGCGUGAAUGAUGAAGGUCUUAGGAUUGUAAAAUUCUUUCAGCGGGGACGAUAAUGACGGUACCCGCAGAAGAAGCUCCGGCUAACUUCGUG